GUGGCGAACGGGUGAGUAUACAUCGGAACGUGCCAGACGUGGGAUAACGAGGCGAAAGCUUUGCUAUACCGCAUACGAUCUAGAUGAAGCAGGGGACCGGAAGGCCUUGCGCGUUUGGAGCGGCGAUGGCAGAUUAGGUAUUGUGGGAUAAAAGCUUACCAAGCCGACGAUCUGUACUGGUCUGAGAGGACGACCAGCCACACUGGACUGAGACACGGCCAACUCCUACGGGAGGCAGCAGUGGGGAAUUUUGGACAAUGGGCGAAAGCCUGAUCCAGCAAUGCCGCGUGCAGGAUGAAGGCCUUCGGGUUGUAAACUGCUUUUGUACGGAACGAAAAGGCUCUGGUUAAUACCUGGGGCACAUGACGGUACCGUAAGAAUAAGCACCGGUAACUACGUGCCAGCAGCCGCGGUAAUACGUAGGUGCGAGCGUUAAUCGGAAUUACUGGGCGUAAAGCGUGCGCAGGCGGUUUUGUAAGACAGAGGUGAAAUCCCCGGGGUCAACCUGGGAACUGGCUUUGUGACUGCAAAGCUGGAGUGCGGCAGGGGGAUGGAAUUCCGCGUGUAUCAGUGAAAUGCGUAAUUGCGGAGGAAACACCG
rnacentral:rRNA from 1 species